UACGAAGGGGGCUAGCGUUGUUCGGAUUUACUGGGCGUAAAGCGCACGUAGGCGGUUUGUUAAGUCAGAGGUGAAAUCCCGGAGCUCAACUCCGGAACUGCCUUUGAUACUGGCAAGCUAGAGUCCGGAAGAGGUAAGUGGAACUCCUAGUGUAGAGGUGGAAUUCGUAGAUAUUAGGAAGAACACAGUAGCGAAGGCGGCUUACUGGUCCGGAACUGACGCUGAGGUGCGAAAGCGUGGGGAGCAAACAGG
rnacentral:rRNA from 1 species